UGCCUACAAAAUAACUUAUUUUGUAGUCACUUUGAGUUACGAUAAUUACUAUAUUAAUUUACAAGAUUAUAGUAACUCCUUACUAAGUGAUUUAUUAUAACAUUACGGUAAAUAUCCCCAUGUGUUAUAGUAACCCAACUAUCGUAAAUAUGUAUACAUAUUAUCGUAAAUUAGUAUACAAAAUUAUCGUAAAUCGAGGUGGCUACAGAAUAACAUAUUUUGUAGCUA
rnacentral:pre_miRNA from 1 species